rnacentral:rRNA from 1 species
UACAGAGGUCUCAAGCGUUGUUCGGAUUCAUUGGGCGUAAAGGGUGCGUAGGCGGCGCGGUAAGUCGGGUGUGAAAUCUCGGAGCUUAACUCCGAAACUGCAUUCGAUACUGCCGUGCUUGAGGACUGGAGAGGAGACUGGAAUUUACGGUGUAGCGGUGAAAUGCGUAGAUAUCGUAAGGAAGACCAGUGGCGAAAGGCGGGUCUCUGGACAGUUCCUGACACUGAGACACGAAGGCCAGGGGAGCAAACGGG